rnacentral:tRNA from 1 species
GGCCCCAUGGAGAAAUAGGCAUCUCGUCUCCCUCUCACGGAGAAGAUUCCGGGUUCAAAUCCCGGUGGGGUCA